UACGUAGGUGGCAAGCGUUGUCCGGAAUCACUGGGCGUAAAGCGCGCGCAGGCGGCGAUCUACGUCUGGGGUGAAAGCCCGGAGCUCAACUCCGGGACUGCCUUGGAUACGGGAUCGCUUGAGGAUUGGAGAGGCAAGGGGAAUUCCACGUGUAGCGGUGAAAUGCGUAGAGAUGUGGAGGAACACCUGUGGCGAAGGCGGCCAUCUGGGACAACACUGACGCUGAAGCACGAAAGCGUGGGGAGCAAACAGG
rnacentral:rRNA from 1 species